UAGUUCAGUCGGUAAAGAAUCUGCCUGCAACGCAGGAGACCCAGGUUCAAUUCCUGG
rnacentral:tRNA from 1 species